ACUGCGGAGAGGAAGGGGCGGGGUGAGCGGAGGCGGGGGGCGGGGCCUCGAGUGGACUCCUCCUCCUCCCCCCUCCCCCCGCCACGGCCAGACGGUAGCCAGGCCAGAGUCGAAGGGCAGGGGCCUCAGAAAGCCGAUCGCCGGGGGAAGGACGACAGACGGAGGGGCAGAACCUCAAAGAGCUGAGUCCGAGGGAACAGACAGGCUGACAGACUCUGGACAAAAUCGAGGAGGAGGGCCAAGAGUGGAGCUAGGACGGGGCUCGGCGGCAGAGGGGCGGAACCGCGGAAAGCAUCCUAUAAAGGAACUGGGAGACUGACAGAAAGGGCACCGGGUCAGACCGAGACGUCCACGCCCGGCGCGCACUUCACGGUCUUGGUCUUCUGCGGAGAGCAUCCGUCAUCUGCUUUCUGCACGCAGCUGUAGCACUCCAGGGCCCGCGCUCCUGGGGGCGCAGGGCCGAGCAGAACUAAGCGAUUCCUACCGAAGCCUCGUCCCCGAAAGGAGAAAUAGUCCUUCCCACGCCCUCUGUCCCCGGGACGUGACAAUGCUAUUGCCCACCAUUUUCCGGGACAGGAGUAAAAAUCUCGCCAC